rnacentral:rRNA from 1 species
AUUCCAGCUCCAAUAGCGUAUAUUAAAGUUGUUGCAGUUAAAAAGCUCGUAGUUGGAUUUCUGACAGGGGGCCGAACACCACUGUAGUGAGUGUUUUGGUACCUGUCAUCCUUCUGUUAACCCUAGCGUCAUUCAUUUGUCGUUGGGCGGACCAGAUACUUUACCUUGAGAAAAUUAGAGUGUUUCAGGCAGGCCUAGCCGGAAUACAUUAGCAUGGAAUAAUGGAAUAGGACUAUAGUCUCGUCGUUGGUUACGUGGACUGCAGUAAUGAUUAACAGGGACAGUCAGGGGCACUCGUAUUCCGCCGAGAGAGGUGAAAUUCUUAGACCAGCGGAAGACGAACCACUGCGAAAGCAUUUGCCAGGGAUGUUUUCAUUA